AUUUCACUAUCAGUGAGAAAUUAAUCCAACGUUUUAGUAUAAAGGUAUGAUCUAUUGUACAUAUGUCAUAAUCAGAAUUGAUAUUACAUACAGCUAUCUGUAAUAGUCGAUAUUACAACCAGCUUUAAGAUGAUGAAGACUUGUGUUCAACUGCUAUUGGUGGUAAUGAUACUAGGAUGUCAUGUCGCAAGAGGCUGGAAGAAAAGAGAUGUAACAGGGAUUUUGGAUGAAAAUGAAAGAUUUGCUAGUCCCCCAUUUUUCCCACCCCCUACAUUCCCUAGUCCUCCUACAUAUCCUGGUUUUCCAGAUCCUAUUUGGGCGAAGAGGCAUGGGAAUGAUUUGAAUCUGUUGGAUAAUGAUGAAGAGUAUGAGAGAUCUGCUGUUGAUGAGCUUGAACCUUAAAUUCAUAUUAGCAAGCCAUAUUAAACAUUAUGCAAGAACUAAAUCUGUCUAUUGUAGGUCUUUCUUUAGGCCUGAAAUGUUAUAUAAACUAUUAAUUAGACAUUAAUUAACCUAUCCAGACCAUAAUCAACUCUCGAUAUCAUCUUAUCUGUCCGAUUUUCAUUGGAUUGGAAUCCGAUCUGCUGUUCAACAUUCGUUGAUGAUUAAACGGAAAAUUGGAUGAUCGAGACUUUGUUAAUUAUCGUGACAGCGUUAACAAUGACAAUCGAGGCUACAAUGUUUUUAAAAAAAGGUUUUCUCGGCUUAGCGUGAAGCAAUUUAACUGAAAUUUUCAGAAUAUUCCCUUUCCAUCAGUAUAGUAAGAACUGCCAGCUCUUUAUCUAAUCUUCCAUAAUGUAUCUUUAAAUAAAAUAAAACUAUAAAACUGU